rnacentral:rRNA from 1 species
UAAUACGUAGGGGGCAAGCGUUGUCCGGAAUUACUGGGCGUAAAGAGCGUGUAGGCGGAUUAUUAAGUCAGAUGUGAAAACUUGGGGCUCAACCGCAAGAGUGCAUCUGAUACUGGUAAUCUUGAGGGUAUGAGAGGAAAACGGUAUUCCUAGUGUAGCGGUGAAAUGCGUAGAUAUUAGGAGGAACACCAGUGGCGAAGGCGGUUUUCUGGCAUACAACUGACGCUGAGACGCGAAAGCGUGGGGAGCAAACAGGAUUAGAUACCCUGGUAGUCCACGCCGUAAACGAUGGGUACUAGGUGUAGGAGGUAUCGACCCCUUCUGUGCCGCAGUUAACACAAUAAGUACCCCGCCUGGGGAGUACGGCCGCAAGGUUGAA